rnacentral:ncRNA from 1 species
UUACCCGGCAUUGCAGGGAUAUAAAUGCGAUGGCAACACUACCGCUGAGUGGCAGCGGAAAUAUAAAUUAAAUCUAUGUUGAAAACAGGAGG